rnacentral:rRNA from 1 species
ACUGAAGAGAUAAGUGCUGAAAGCAUCUAAGCACGAACAUUGCCCCGAGAUGAGUUCUCCCUGACUCCUUGAGAGUCCUGAAGGAACGUUGAAGACGACGACGUUGAUAGGCCGGGUGUGUAAGCGCAGCGAUGCGUUGAGCUAACCGGUACUAAUGAACCGUGAGGCUUAACCUUACAACGCCGAAG